rnacentral:misc_RNA from 1 species
UUCGAGCGUCAUUUAAUCAUUCAAGCUCUGCUUGGUGUUGGGCUGUCACCCGGUGGGUGGGCCCUAAAGACAUUGGCAGUGCGGUCCGACUUCAGGCGUAGUAGUUUUCCCGCCUCGGAAGCUCCGGCCUGUGCCCGCCAGAUAAAACACCCUUAUCCAAAAUUGACCUCGGAUCAGGUAGGGAUACCCGCUGAACUUAA